UACGUAGGGCGCGAGCGUUAUCCGGAAUUAUUGGGCGUAAAGAGCUCGUAGGCGGUUUGUCACGUCUGCUGUGAAAACUGGAGGCUCAACCUCCAGCCUGCAGUGGGUACGGGCAGACUAGAGGUAGGCAGGGGAGAGCGGAACUCCUGGUGUAGCGGUGGAAUGCGCAGAUAUCAGGAGGAACACCGGUGGCGAAGGCGGGUCUCUGGGCAGUAACUGACGCUGAGGAGCGAAAGCGUGGGGAGCGAACAGG
rnacentral:rRNA from 1 species